UGCUGUCACUUAUAGAUGGAUCCGCGCUGCAUUAGCUAGUUGGUAAGGUAACGGCUUACCAAGGCAACGAUGCAUAGCCGACCUGAGAGGGUGAUCGGCCACACUGGAACUGAGACACGGUCCAGACUCCUACGGGAGGCAGCAGUAGGGAAUCUUCCGCAAUGGGCGAAAGCCUGACGGAGCAACGCCGCGUGAGUGAUGAAGGUCUUCGGAUCGUAAAACUCUGUUAUUAGGGAAGAACAUAUGUGUAAGUAACUGUGCACAUCUUGACGGUACCUAAUCAGAAAGCCACGGCUAACUACGUGCCAGCAGCCGCGGUAAUACGUAGGUGGCAAGCGUUAUCCGGAAUUAUUGGGCGUAAAGCGCGCGUAGGCGGUUUUUUAAGUCUGAUGUGAAAGCCCACGGCUCAACCGUGGAGGGUCAUUGGAAACUGGAAAAC
rnacentral:rRNA from 1 species